rnacentral:rRNA from 1 species
AACGAACGCUGGCGGCAUGCCUAACACAUGCAAGUCGAACGAGACCUUCGGGUCUAGUGGCGCACGGGUGCGUAACGCGUGGGAACCUGCCCUUAGGUUCGGAAUAACUCCCCGAAAGGGGUGCUAAUACCAGAUAAUGUCUUCGGACCAAAGAUUUAUCGCCUUUGGAUGGGCCCGCGUUGGAUUAGCUAGUUGGUAGAGUAAAAGCCUACCAAGGCGACGAUCCAUAGCUGGUCUGAGAGGAUGAUCAGCCACACUGGGACUGAGACACGGCCCAGAAUCCUACGGGAGGCAGCAGUGGGGAAUAUUGGACAAUUGGCGAAAGCCUGAUCCAGCAAUGCCGCGUGAGUGAUGAAGGCCUUAGGGUUGUAAAGCUCUUUUAACCGGGAUGAUAAUGACAGUACCGGGAGAAUAAGCUCCGGCUAACUCCGUG